GAAAUUUCACUAUGGUCACUUGACUCGGACACGCGUUAGGCACAUGCUUCAUUCCAAUAGAAAGGACUUUUGAUUCUCUGACAUUUCAAGACACACAAGAAGGCUCUCUAGAGUUCUGUCACGUGUUGCCUUUGUGAUCGCCUACCAGUUCUUCUCCCCUCUACAAACUCUCGAUCAUUUUCUGUACUAUUCGUGGAUUUCUACCCUAAUUGAGCGAGGUACGAUUUACUUGUCUACAC
rnacentral:lncRNA from 1 species